GAUGAAGAACGUAGCGAAAUGCGAUAAGUAAUGUGAAUUGCAGAACUCAGUGAAUCAUCGAAUCUUUGAACGCACCUUGCGCUCCCUGGUAUUCCGGGGAGCACGCCUGUUCGAGUGUCGCGAUAUUCUUCAAGCCUUGGAUGGAUUUUUUUUUUGUCUGUCCUUGGGCUUGGUUGUUGGGCUCUGCCGUGUCCUUCAUUGGGACGGCUGGCCUUAAAAGCAUUAGCCGAUCCUCGUGUGGUACUGGUUCUACUCAGCGUGAUAACAAUCUGAUCGUUGAGGACAUCUUCUGGAUGGCCAGUCAUCAUUUGGGUUGCUUCUAAACCGGUUUCGCAGAUUGCUCAAUCUGUGUGCCACUUUUCAGCUUUGACCUCGAAUCAGGUGGGACUACCCGCUGAACUUAAGCAUAUCAAUAAGCGGAGGA
rnacentral:misc_RNA from 1 species